rnacentral:lncRNA from 1 species
AUGAUCCAAAUGGCCAUGGACAAGAUGAGCUAUCAGUAGGGGGACUGGCUAUGAAGCAGCCUCUGCAUCAUUCCAGGGACGAGAUGGUGAGGGCCAGAAAAUAAUGACAAAGAAGACCUGGAUUUUAGAAAUAUUUCUGAAAUAGAUUUCUUAGUCCUGUCAAAGAUGAACAAAGAUGAACGCUAAAGUGGUAAGGACAGAUUUUAAUCAGUAACAACUAUUGCAGCUGGGAAAAGAGCCCAGCAGAAAUUGAACUUAACUUUGAUUUGUGGAGGUCACUGGGCAUUUUAAAGUGAGAAUGGGCCAGGCUCAGUGCCUCACACCUGUAAUCACAGCACUUUGGGAGUGAAGUGGGAGGAUUGCUUGAAGCCAGGAGGUAAAGACCAGCCUGGGCAACAGAACAAGACCUUGUUUCAACAAAAAAUUUUAAAAAAUAGCUGUGUGUGGUGGCACCCACCUGCAGUCCCAGUUACUUGGGAGGCUGAGGUGGGUGUAUUGCCUGAUCCCAGGAAUUCAAGGCUAUAGUGAGUUAUGACUGCACCAUUGCACUCCAACCUGAGCAACAGAGCAAGACUCUGUCUGAGAAAAGGAUAACAUGAGAGAAUGAUGGGUUAGGGAGGGAAGGAGCAGGGGCUUGGCAGAGUUAGGGAAGUGAAACACUACAAAAGCAGGAAGUGGGGUGGUCCAUGUGAAACCCACCUGGGUUUACUAAUGUGUUCCUGUUGAAGUUAGACUCCCACCCCCACAGAGGCUGGGAGGCAGAGACCCUGUCUUCAGGUGUUGGCUGAAAGAAAUGGUAACUUAUUUUAGCAGCCUUGAGCUUUCUCAUGCGGGCACAUGAAGAGGACUAGUGUCAUCUUAGGGAAUGCGGCCUCGCACCAUUGGAAACAAUGAUUCUAAAGACCAUUUCCACAUGGAGAAGCUGCCAGAACAAGCACUGCUACCCUUGGAGGCCAUUGACAUUGUGAGGUCGCUGGGACUGAAAGGAGGUUGACCAGAAGUUCUGUUUGGCAAUGCAAAGCCAGGAGGAAAAGUUAAUGGAGUUUGUCCCCCGGGUCCCAAGAAAGCUGACCCAGGACGAUGAAGCUAGAAUUUGUGUUCUAGGAGGUGCUGCUUCUUCCAGGAAAGUCUACUCAAAGCACACACUGUGAGCUGCUGCAUGUCUCUUGAGCUAGUUCACUGCAGUUUUCAUGAUGAAAGUGAUCUGUUUCAGUAAACUUUCUGUUAUUUGAGAGCAUGGGAAAAAUAUUUGCUGUGAUUUCCCAAUUCCCCAUUUUUUCUGAUUCUUUGUUGCAGUUUCCACAACUUUGUUAUCAGGCUGUGACAGAGGUUUGUGAACUGAUGAAAGCUCCAGAGCCUCCCAGGCCCUCUGAGUCUGAUGCCUGCACUCCACAAUCAGGCCUCAAGCUCAGGGCGCCUGCCACCAACCCACGCUGGGCUUCAGGGGCAGGCAGCACUUGAAUGGGGUUUGGUUAUUGUCUUUCUUUAUUUUCUCUUAUUUUAAGCCUUAAAAAAAAAAAGAUAAGGUCUUGCUCUAUUGCCCAGGCUGGAGAGAAAUGGUGUGAUCAUAGCUCACUGCAGCUUUGAAUUCCUGGGUUCAACCGAUCCUCCCACCUAAGCCUCCCGAGUAACCAGGACUGCAAGUAUGCACCACCACACCCAGUUAAUUAAAUUUGUGUGUGUGUGUGUGUGUAGAGGUGGGUUCUUGCUUUGUUGCCCAGGCUGGUCUUGAACUCUUGAGUUCAGACAAUCCUGCCACCUCAACCUCACAAAGUGCUGGAAUUACAGGCGUGAGCCACUGCACUCAGCCUCCUUAAGCCAUUUGCUUAAGUGGCUUUAUUGCAAAACAAUAUCAGAAUAACAAAGAAAUAUAAGGUCAAACUUUCCCUGUUCCCAUCUAGUCCAAUAAGCAUUGCUGCUCUUGCCAGGGAUUCUCGCCCAUCUCCAUGUGCCAGUGCAAUCCAUACUGGUUGUUCUCCUUGGCUACCCCACAUCUGAGUCUCUGCCUUGUCUGCAUUCUUCCCCACUUUAUGAAGAGAUGAGUCAGUGCCUGAUUUUUUCUGCCUCUCUUGUCACUAGGGCACAGCCAUGUGCAUGGGCCCUGUCACUCAGAAGCCCCCAUCCACCAACAACAUGGCUCUGGGGGCCUCCUCUCUCUGGAAGAAUUGGCAGUUUUAGCAAGAAAGGUUUUCAGAGGCAGCAAUGAUGGUGGAGAUGUCCAGGGCCAGUGGCAGGUCAAACCAUUCUCUGUGUCAUUUGGGGCAGUGUUUAUGCUGUCCCUCAUUUUGGUUCCCUAAGCCUCCGAACAUGUACGUGAAUUUCCGAAUAUUCUCAAUUAAAUUGUUUUUCUGUUGAAAUUGGCCUGGUUGCUUUCAACUAUGACAAACCUAGCUAUAUAAGUAUUAUUUUGUAGUGUUGGGAUUGAUAGAACUUUAUGUUCUACACAUUAGCAGAAUACCAUGUGUAUUUUUCCAUUUGACAUAAUCUUUUAUCUUUCCAUUGAUAAGUAUUAUUACUAUUUAGUGAUAUAUUAUUUGAGUUCUCUUGCCCCUUUUGGGUAGCCCAUGUUAACAGUAAUACCCAGCUGCUACACUGAGAGCCUCUGAGACUUACUGGCUUCAGGGGAGACAGCACAUUAUCAGCUGUGGUGGCCAUGGCCGAGACUCCUUUUGCCUGAGAAAAGCAGAGGAAAAUGUAGAAGGGACUUCGUCUUGCAUCUGAGACACCAGCACAGCCACAGGGUGGUAGAGCACCAAGGGGGCUUUUGGAAUCUUUGAUUCUGGGAUGUGGCUCUUGGAAGGCAUUUCUGGACUUGCCCUGGGCCAGGGGGAGCCCACUGUCUUAAAGGGUGAGUCCCAGGCCAGGCAGCAUUUGCCACAGUCGACUGAAGAGCCCUGGGGGCCUUCAAGGGACAUAGAAGGUAAUCUGAAAGUACUCCGCAUAGGCCUGUGGGGUGGUGGCCAUGGGGCAAGGCUGCCCUGCCUCUGGAAAGGGUAGGAGAGAGUGAGAAAGACUGCAUCCUGUUGUCCGAGUGCCAGCUCAGCCACAGUACAAUAGAACACCAGCUAGGCUCCCAGCCAGCACCUCUGGACCAGCCUGGAAACUGGGGGUAACUCAUCGCCCUGAAGGGAAGGACAAAGGCCUGGCUGGCUUUGCCGUCUGCUGAUUGUUGAGCCCUAGGCGGGGAGCGGUUACAGUCGGCCUUGGGUGAGACUCAGAGCUGCACUGGCUUCAGGUCUGACUCAGCACAGUCACAGUGAUGGUGGCCACAGGGGUGCUUAUGUCACUCUAUCCCAGCUUUAGGUGGCUCAGAACAGACACACUCCAUUUCUUUGGGAGAAAGUAAGAAAGAGAACAAGAGUCUCUCUGAUAAUCCAGAGAGUUCUCCCAGAUCUUGUCCAAGAUCAUCAAGGCAAUACCACUGAGUCUGCAAAAACUGCAGUGUUACUGGGCUUGGGGUGCCCCCUAAAACAGAUACAACUUAGAUCACAACACCCAUGGCCUUUUAAAUAUGUGAAAAGCCUUCCCAAGAAGGACGGGUACAAACAAGCCCAGAUAGCAAAGGCUACAAUAAAUACCUAACUCUUCAAUUCCAGACACAAAUGGACACCUACAAGUAUCAAGACAUUCCAGGAAAAAAAUGACCUCACCAAAUGAACUAAAUAAAGCAUCAGGGACCCAUCCUGAAGAAACAGAUACGUGACCUUUUAGACAGAGAAUACAAAAUAGCCACUCUGAGGAAACUCAAAGAAAUUCAAGAUAACACAGAGAAGGAAUUCAGAAUUCUAUCAGAUAAAUUUAACAAAGAGAUUGAAAUCAUUCAAAAUGAUCAAACAGAUACUGUGGAGAUAAAAAAUGGAAUUGGCAUACUAAAGAAUGCAUCAGAGUCUUAAUAAUAGAAUUAAUCAAGUAGAAGAAAGAAUUAGCUUGAAGACAGGCUAUUUCAAAAUACACAGUUAGAGGACUCAAAAGAAAAUAGAAUAAAAAAUAAUGAAGCAUGUCAAAGAAUCUAGAAAAUAGCCUCAAAAGGACAAAUCUAAGAGUUAUUGGCCUUAAAGGGGAGACAAAGAAAGAGAUAAGGGUAGAAUGUUUAUUCAAAGGGAUAAUAACAGAGACUUUUCGAAACCCGGAUAAUAAUAUCAAUAUCCAAGUACAAGAAAACAGAACACCAAGCAGAUUAAAUCCAAAGAAGACUGCCUCAAGGCAUUUAAUAAUCAAAUUCUAAAGAUCAAGGGUAAAGAAAGGAUCCUAAAAGUAACAAGGGAGAAGAAACAGAUAACAUACAAUGGAUCUCCAGUAUGUCUUGCAGUGGACUUUUCAGUGGAAACCUUAAAGUCCAGGAGAGAGUGGCACAACACAUUUAAAGUGCUGAAAGAAAGAAACUUUUACCCUAGAAUAGUAUAUCCAGCAAAAAUAUUCUUCUAACAUGAAGAAAAAAUAAAGACUUUCCCAGGCAAACAAAAGCUGAGGGAUUUUAUCAGCACUAGACCUGUCUUAUGAGAAAUGCCAAAGGGAGUACUUCAAUCAGAAAGAAAAGGAUGUUAGUAAGUAAUCAUGCGAAAGUACAAAAUUCAUGGGUAAUAGUAAGCACACAGAAAAACACAGAAUUUUAUAUCCCUGUAACUGUGAUGUGUAAACUACUAUUAUUCUAAGUAGAAAAACUAAAUGAUGAACCAAUCAAAAAUAAUAACUAUAACAAUUUUUCAAGCCAUAGACAGUACUAUAAGAUAUAAAUAGAAACAACAAAAAGUUUAAAAUCAGGACAAAGUUAAGACGUAGAGUUUUUAUUAGUUUCCUUUUUUUUUGCUUCUUUGUUUCUUUGUUUAUGCAAACAAUGUUAAGUUGUUAUCAGCUUAAAGUAACAGGUCAUAAAGAAGCCAGUCAUGGUGUCUCACACUUGUAAUGCCAGCACUUUGAGAGUCCAAGGUGGGUGGAUCACUUGAGGUCAGAAGUUUGAGACCAGCCUGGCCAAUAUGGCGAAACCCCAUCGCUACUAAAAAUACAAAAAUUAGCCAGGUAUGGUGGCACAUGCCUGUAAUCCCAGCUACUCAGGAGGCUGAGGCAUGAGAACCCAGAAUGUGGAGGUUGAAGUAAGCCAAGAUCACACCACUGUACUCCAGCUUGGAUGACAGAGCAAGACUCUGUUUCAGAAGGAAAAAAAAAAGUCAUAAGAUAGUAUUUGCAAGCCUCAUAGUGACCUCAAACCAUAAAAACAUACAAUGAAUACACAAAAAGUAAAAAGCUAGAAACUAAAUCAUAUUACUAGAGAAAAAUCACUUUCACUAAAGGAAGGAAAGAAAGAAGGCAGAGAACAUCACAGAACAACUAGAAAACAAGUUAACACAAUGGCGGGAGUAAGUUCUUACUUAUCAAUAUUAACAUUGAUUGUAAAUAAGAACACCAAUAAAAUGAAAGAUUACAUCAAGUUAAAAAGUUAAAAAGCUUCUGCACAGCAAAGGAAACAGUCAAUAAAGUGGUAACCCCGCAGAGUGGGCAAAAAAUAUUUGCAAACUACCCAUGUGACAAGGGAUUAAUAACCAGAAUAUAUAAGGAGCUCAAACAACUCUAGAGAAAAACAAAUCUAAUAAUCUGAUCAAAAAAUAGGCAAGAUAUUUGAAUAGACAUUUCUCAAAAAAGACAUACAAAUGGCAAACAGUCAUAUGAAAAGGUGCUCAACAUCAUUGAUCAUCAGAACAAUGCAAAUAAAAACUACAAUGAAAUGUCAUCUCAUCCCUGUUAAAAUCGAUUGUAUCCAAAAGACAGGCAAAAACAAAUGCUGGUGAAAUGUGGAGAAAAGGGAACCCUCAUACACUGUUGGUGGGAAUGUAAGUUAGCCCAACCACUAUGAAUAGUGGUUUGAAGGUUCCUCAAAAAGCUAAAUAUGGAGCUACCAUAUGGUUCAGCCAUCCCACUGCUGGGUAUAGACCCAAAAGAAAGGAAAUCAGUAUAUUGAAGAGAUGUCUGCACUCCCGUGUUUGUUUCAGCACUGUUCACAGUAGCAAAGAUUUUGAAACAACCCAAGUGUCCCUCAAUAGAUGAAUAGAUAAACGAAAUGUGGUGCUUUUACACAAUGGAGUACUGUUCAGCCAUAAAAAUGAAUGAGAUCCUGUUCUUUACAACAACAUGGGUGGAAAUGAAGAUCAUUAUAUUAAGUGAUAUAAGCCAGACACAGAAAGACAAACAUUACAUCUUCUCAUGUACUUAUGGGAUCUGAAGAUCAAAAUAAUUGAACUCCAUGGACAUAGAGAGUAGAAGAAUGGUUACCAUAGGCUGGGAUUAGUAGUGGGACAGGUGGGGCAGGGGGCAGGUUAGGACAGGUAAUAGGUACAAAAAUAAUAGGAAGAAUGAAUAAGACCUACUAUUUGUUAGCAUAAAAUGGUACUUGUAAUCAAUUACACUUAAUUAUAUGUUUUAAAAUAACUCAAAGAGUAUAAUUGGAUUCUUUGUAACACAAAGAAUAAAUGUUUGAGGAGAUGGAUACCCUAUUCAGCAUGAUGUGUUAUUAUGCAUUGCAGGCCUGUAUCAAAGCAUUUCAAGUACGCUAUAGAUAUAUACACCUACUAUGUACUCACAAAAAUUAACAAAUUAAAAAAUUAAAGAAAACAGAGUGAGAAUGGGAUGGUGAGCAGGUGGUAUAAGGUAUAUGAUAUUGGUGUUCAGACUGUUAUCCAAAACCCUAAGAAUAGGCCAGGUGCGGUGGCUCACACCUGUAAUCCCAGCACUUUGCGAGGCUGAGGCGGGUAGAUCAUGUGGUGAGGAGUUCAAGACCAGCCUGGCCAAGAUGGUAAAACCCUGUCUCUAGUAAAAAUACAAAAAUUAGCCAGGCAUGGUGGUGGGCGCCUGUAAUCCCAGCUACUUAGGAGGCUGAGGCAGAGAAUUGCUUGAACCCAGGAGGCAGAGGUUGCAGUGAGCUGAGAUCAUGCCACUGCACUCCAGCCUGGGCAACAGAGCGAGACUCUGUCUCAAAAAAAAAAGGCAAAAAAAACAAAA